rnacentral:rRNA from 1 species
CAUGCAAGCCGAGCGGUAGAGAUUCUUCGGAAUCUUGAGAGCGGCGUACGGGUGCGGAACACGUGUGCAACCACCUUUAUCUGGAGGAUAGCCUUUCGAAAGGAAGAUUAAUACUCCACAAUAUAUUGAUUGGCAUCAAUUGAUAUUGAAAGCUCCGGCGGAUAGAGAUGGGCACGCGCAAGAUUAGUUAGUUGGUGAGGUAACGGCUCACCAAGACGAUGAUCUUUAGGGGCCUGAGAGGGUGAUCCCCCCACACUGGUACUGAGACACGGACCAGACUCCUACGGGAGGCAGCAGUGAGGAAUAUUGGUCAAUGGGUGCAAGCCUGAACCAGCCAUCCCGCGUGAAGGACGACUGCCCUAUGGGUUGUAAACUUCUUUUGUAUAGGGAUAAACCUACCCUCGUGAGGGUAGCUGAAGGUACUAUACGAAUAAGCACCGGCUAACUCCGUG